ACUCUCUGGAUUCCUUAACCCUCAGAUCUAAGCAUUGGUCUGAAAGGUUAAAACAAGGAGGAAAAGUAAGACUGAAGUGUAUUUGUGGUUGUUGCUAGCUAAAAUUG
rnacentral:snoRNA from 1 species